UAAACCAGAUUACUUCCUUCAAAAUGUUUUGAUAUUUGGGUGGAAGAAAGCCGAGAAGAAAGUCUGAAGAUCUGAAUGUGAUGGCGAAUCCUGUGAAUAUUUCCCAGGAGAGAUGGAAUUCAGAGACAUAUUUAACAAUUCCUAAGGAAAAAGGCUGCCUCUGUAGACCAGUUAUUAUCGACAUCAGGAAGACAUAUUUUGGAAUUUUUCCUAAAGAGCGUGACUCGGCAUCUCGAGAUGUGGAUCUCCUAAAGAGGACUUUUAAACAGCUGGGUUUCCUGGAGCCUCACAUUAUCAGCACACUUGACCCAGAUUCUGAUAAAUAUGAUCAUCCUUUAUAUUCAGUGGAAAAUCUUAAAAGGAAGUUGGUCAGCAUAGACCUGCAAUGCUCAGCUGGCCCAGAAGGACAGGUCUUUGUUUAUGGAUGGAAUCUCCCCACCUCCUCUAGCUACAGUCCCUAUAGAGGCGGAUCUUCUACUUUAUCAUUCAGAAGUUUCAGGUGGAUAUACCUGCAAAAUGAAGAAAGAAACCAGAGAGAAUCUUGGAUCAGUCAUUGACCAGGGAGACAGGAAUGGGGGUGGGGAUGAGAGGGAGACCCAGGCCUGUCAGUUUGUGUAUACCUUGUACAAGGAGGUAGAGGCAUUGGCUGGCCAGCAGAAGGAUUUUGAGUUGACUGAUUUAAUCCUGGGAGUGAACAGAUCCCUAAUGGAGUUCAUUGAUAAGGAACAUUACAGGUCUGAUGAAGACAACAAGCCAUGGACCAUAGAGCCAAUGAUUCCAAUCUGUGUGGACCAGCUGACCAAGAGAUUGGUGCUCAGAACAAACCUAGGCUAAUAUGUGAUCAUGAUUGAUCUUCCGAGUGUUUACACUACCUGUCAAAAUUAUGCAUUGUCCAACAACUAUUGAAUUUGAAUUUGAACAGAUUUUAUUAUGCAAGUAUAUAAUUACAUAAAUGGAUUAGGCAGCAGGCAAUGCCUAUGUAAGCCUUUUCCAUAAACUAUUGCCUGCAAACACUGGUGCUGAGAACAAACCCUGGCUUACAUGUAAUUAUCGGUCUUUUUGAGUGUUUACAAAAUCUGCCAAAAUUUCUUUGCAAAAAUUGUUACCUUACAGCAUUGCCUACAAACAAUUGGUGCUGAGAACGAAUCUUGGCUUAGAUGUAAUCUAUGGUCUCUUCAUGGUUUACAAAACCUGCAAAUCGUACUUCAAUCAAAACUGCUUUACCAAACUAUUCCCUUACAAACAAAUACCUAAUCCUGUAAUUAUAAUCUGAAAGGAACAGAUGUUGAAUUGUAAAUGUCAAAUUUCAUUUAUUUUAUUUUUUUAUCAAAAUGCAUUAAAAUAAGAAAUAUUUGUUUCUAACCAAGUUUGUCGAUAAAUAUAUGAAAUAUAUAUUUUUAUAUUUCCUUACAUUUUUGUUGAAAAACACUAAUUAAUGUCAUAUUCAUACAAUUCAGUGAGCGAGAUUGUUUUAUCAACAAAUAUUUUUAUUUAAGAGUUUUGAAAGAAUUAUUAGUUAAGAGAAAACUUUUUUUUUUCAAAAUGUUUAUAUUGGUAACUUGUAUACAACUCUAUGCAAUUUAUUAGAAAAUGAAUUAAAUCACACAACUUU
rnacentral:misc_RNA from 1 species